rnacentral:rRNA from 1 species
AGUGAACGCUGGCGGUAGGCCUAACACAUGCAAGUCGAACGGCAGCACAGUAAGAGCUUGCUCUUACGGGUGGCGAGUGGCGGACGGGUGAGGAAUACAUCGGAAUCUACUUUUUCGUGGGGGAUAACGUAGGGAAACUUACGCUAAUACCGCAUACGACCUACGGUUGAAAGCAGGGGAUCUUCGGACCUUGCGCGAUUGAAUGCGCCGAUGUCGGAUUAGCUAGUUGGCGGGGUAAAGGCCCACCAAGGCGACGAUCCGUAGCUGGUCUGAGAGGAUGAUCAGCCACACUGGAACUGAGACACGGUCCAGACUCCUACGGGAGGCAGCAGUGGGGAAUAUUGGACAAUGGGCGCAAGCCUGAUCCAGCCAGACCGCGUGGGUGAAGAAGGCCUUCGGGUUGUAAAGCCCUUUUGUUGGGAAAGAAAAGCAGCAGGUUAAUACCCCGCUGUUCUGACGGUACCCAAAGAAUAAGCACCGGCUAACUUCGUG